rnacentral:lncRNA from 1 species
GUAAAAAUUAAUCUGAAUUGAAGUGUAAUAAUGUCAGCAAAAUUGAAAGAGUAUCUUACAUCUGUCCAGCCUGAAAGGGCGUCUAAAUAAGAAGUCUCUCCACAGAUAUCCCUCAAUGUACCCCACUCCUCUUUUUGUUUCCUGUACACAUGCUGAUGCCAUUAUGGAAGAUUCUUAUUUUGUGAGUCUUUUUGGAAAUUACAAAGACUGAACAUUUUGGAAAUUGUAAAAAUAUUUUUUGCCAAAUCAAACUUUGGAAAGAAAACCUUCAUAUUCUGCACAGAUGGAACCUCGCAGAUACUUGGAAGAUUAGCCCUGAGCUAACUACUGGCAAUCCUCCUCUUUUUGCUGAGGAAGACUGGCUCUGAGGUAACAUCCGUGCCCAUCUUCCUCUACUUUAUACGUGGGAUGCCUACCACAGCAUGGCGUGCCAUGCGGUACCAUGUCCGCACCCGGAUCCAAACCAGUGAACCCUGGGCCCCCGAGAAGCGGACUGUGCUAACUUAACUGCUGCGCCACCGGGCCGGCCCCACUCAUUGUCUUUUUAAACAGACGUGCGCUGACAAUAAAGAUUCUUCUAACAAGCCUGAAAAGGAGUUGUGUUAACAGCCAUAAAUGUCAUCAACUUCAUCAGAGACACAUCUUUGUGUCAAAUGCAUUUUAAAAUUUUUGUAAAGAUAUGAUCGCAAAAUAUGAAUUCCUUCAUCACCACACAGAAGCUCACUGGUGCUCAUGAGGCUAUGCCUUCAAGUGCAUUUUCCAGCUAAGGGCAGAAGUUUUUCCUUAACUGAAAUUUAAAAAAGAAAGAAAGAAAGAAAGUCCACUCUUGGAACAUUAUGAGAAAAGGAAUUUUAUCCAUGCAUUGUCUUACCUGGCAUAUACUUUUAACCAUGUGAAUGAGUUAAACCUUUCAGUUCAAUGUUAUGAAGUCAACAUUAUAGAUGCUUCUUAAAAAAUUAAAAACAUUCUCAAAGUGAUCGAUAAGGAAGAAACUGGAGAAUAUGCUUUUCUAAGAUGGAGUUUUAAUACAAAAUUUUGUCAAUUUCUUUGAAAAGAGAAAUCUCCGAAUUUCUGGAACACUUCAGAAGUCUUUCAGAAGUUAUUUCUGUCUUGAUGGCUUCUAAGUUGAACUACAGAUAUGCAAUCCAUUUCUUUCUUAUAUAAACUGAAUAAAACAUGGUAAGAUGUUGACCUAACUGAAGAUGAAUUCAUUGAUUUUAGAACAAAAAAAUACAAUGGGAGUUUAACUCACACAUACUCAGAAAUUCUGGUAUUUCUUCCUUGAGAAAGGAUUAUUCUUGCAUUGAUUAAAAAAAAACAACUCUAGAAGAUUUAUUCAAUUUGCA